CUACGGGGCGCAGCAGUGGGGAAUCUUAGACAAUGGGGGAAACCCUGAUCUAGCCAUGCCGCGUGAGCGACGACGGCCCUAGGGUUGUAAAGCUCUUUCAGCAGGGAAGAUAAUGACGGUACCUGCAGAAGAAGUCCCGGCUAACUCCGUGCCAGCAGCCGCGGUAAUACGGAGGGGACUAGCGUUGUUCGGAAUUACUGGGCGUAAAGCGCGCGUAGGCGGAUUGUUAAGUCGGGGGUGAAAUCCCGGGGCUCAACCCCGGAACUGCCCUCGAUACUGGCAGUCUUGAGUUCGAGAGAGGUGAGUGGAAUUCCGAGUGUAGAGGUGAAAUUCGUAGAUAUUCGGAGGAACACCAGUGGCGAAGGCGGCUCACUGGCUCGAUACUGACGCUGAGGUGCGAAAGCGUGGGGAGCAAACAGGAUUAGAUACCCCAGUAGUC
rnacentral:rRNA from 1 species